rnacentral:lncRNA from 1 species
UUUUUAUUUUUCGAUUUAAAGUUUAAAAUUCAAAUUUUAGUUUUUUAAAUUUCAAAAAAACUUUAAAAUUUCCAAAUUUCUAAAUUUUCAAAUUUAAAUUUUAAAUUGAGUUUGAAAUUUAAAAUUUAAAAUUUAAAUAUUAAAUUUUGGAUAGAAAUUUAGAUAUUUAAUUUAACAUUUUAAAUUUUAAUUUCUAAACAUGAAAUUUAAACUUUAAAAUUUAAAUAUCAAAUUUUAAUUUUUGAUUCAUAUUUUUAAUACAAAAUUUUAAAAUUUCAAAGUCAAAUUCAAAUUUUUGAAUUUAAAUUUAAAAAUAAAAUUGAGCGAAAAAAAUUAUUGUUAAAAUUUUUUUGCCAAAUAGUUUUAUAAAAUUAUUUUUGAAAGGCUACAUAAAAAGAAAAUUCUAUCAAUAUCUGUUUUUUCUUAUUCUCACUCUGUUAUUCAAAAACUUACACUUUGCCCCUUAAAAAUAAUAUUCUUUUUGGCCUCCGUCGUCAGUGUUUUAUUAAAAUUCCGCUUAUAUCCUUGUUUUAUACCCAAAAUACCUUUGAAAUCCUCAUCAUUCUCCUCCUUCCUCACUUAUAUCCUCGUCGCACAGCCUCGCCCUACUCCGCCGCCUCGUCCUUGCCCUCGCCCUCACCUGCCUCUCUGCCUAUACCCAGCACGAUCUCCUCCCUACAAUUGCCGAAAUAGAUGGGCGGUGAGAGUGCUAGAGGAGCAGAGAAGCAGGUGGAGGAAAAAGAGCCGGAGCUAAGGUCUAAGGAGACACAUGCGACAGUACGGAAUAAGCAGGAUUGGAGAGGAAACGAAGAAGAUAAAUACAAUUUUGUCAUUUUAUCACACCGUACCCUUGUGAAUAUUUUUUAUUUUUUAAGAAGGGAAAGUAUAGAUUUUUAAAUAAUCGGGAAGAAAGUAAAAAAAUUGGGUGUUAACAGAGAGUUUAGUCUUUUUAAAACAUUGCUUUUCUACUAACUCAAAUGAAAUAAAUUUACAGCAUUGAUAAUAACGGACUCAAAUCAAACAAAUUAAAAUGUUAGAUAUUGAAAUUAAAAUUUUGAAAAUUUAAAUACUGGACUCAAAAUGAUUUAUAGUUCAUUUGCAUGUUUUAAAAACUAAAGUAAACUUCAAAUUAGUUAUCUCUCAUUUAAUUUAUUUUUUUUUGUCAUUCUGUAGUUCAAAAAUUAUACUUUAUUCUGCAGCAGUUUUAUUUUUUAUUUCACUGAAAAAUUUUAUAUCAAAUAAGGUGACAAAAUAAUAAUUUUUUAAAAUUAUAAAAUAGUAAUAAAAAAAUGUGUAAUUUUUUGAACCAUGCGACGAACAAAAAUAAAAAAUGAGUUUAAAUUAGAGGA